AUCAUUACACAAUUAACCAGGGCGGGCUGGACACCCCCCGCUGGGCACUGCUUCACGGCGUGCGCGGCGGGGCCGGCCCCUGCUGAAUUAUUCACCCGUGUCUUUUGCGUACUUCUUGUUUCCUGGGUGGGCUCGCCCGCCCUCAGGACCAACCACAAACCUUUUGCAAUAGCAAUCAGCGUCAGUAACAACGUAAUUAAUUACAACUUUCAACAACGGAUCUCUUGGUUCUGGCAUCGAUGAAGAACGCAGCGAAAUGCGAUACGUAGUGUGAAUUGCAGAAUUCAGUGAAUCAUCGAAUCUUUGAACGCACAUUGCGCCCUUUGGUAUUCCAAAGGGCAUGCCUGUUCGAGCGUCAUUUGUACCCUCAAGCUUUGCUUGGUGUUGGGCGUCUUUUGUCUCCAGUUCGCUGGAGACUCGCCUUAAAGUCAUUGGCAGCCGGCCUACUGGUUUCGGAGCGCAGCACAAGUCGCGCUCUUUGCCAGCCAAGGUCAGCGUCCAGCAAGCCUUUUUUUCAACCUUUGA
rnacentral:rRNA from 1 species